rnacentral:rRNA from 1 species
CCUACGGGAGGCAGCAGUCGAGAAUCAUUCACAAUGGGGGAAACCCUGAUGGUGCGACGCCGCGUGGGGGAAUGAAGGUCUUCGGAUUGUAAACCCCUGUCAUGUGGGAGCAAAUUAAAAAGAUAGUACCACAAGAGGAAGAGACGGCUAACUCUGUGCCAGCAGCCGCGGUAAGACAGAGGUCUCAAGCGUUGUUCGGAAUCACUGGGCGUAAAGCGUGCGUAGGCUGUUUCGUAAGUCGUGUGUGAAAGGCGCGGGCUCAACCCGCGGACGGCACAUGAUACUGCGAGACUAGAGUAAUGGAGGGGGAACCGGAAUUCUCGGUGUAGCAGUGAAAUGCGUAGAUAUCGAGAGGAACACUCGUGGCGAAGGCGGGUUCCUGGACAUUAACUGACGCUGAGGCACGAAGGCCAGGGGAGCGAAAGGGAUUAGAUACCCUGGUAGUC